CAUUAGUUUAUCAAUUAGGUUAUCAACUCAAUUAUCUCCCAGACACAGAGACAACUGGGUGGGCUUAAGACUGAAUGAAUAUACCCCUCCAUACCUGUACCGUCUGCAUGAAUAAACCAGUUGAUUUUCCCUCAUCAUGUUUUUGGCUGAUGCUUGGGGAUACAAGAGCUAUAUCACACUUUGACUCUGCGUGACUAGGGAGACUCUUCAGCGGAUAUACUUAGCCGGAGUAUAGAGGAUCCAUUACAACAGCCUUACUAAUUUUCUAAGGCUGCAAGUAUUCAC